rnacentral:rRNA from 1 species
ACGGCUCAGUAACACGUAGCUAACCUGCCUUUAGGCCAAGGAUAUUCUCGGGAAACUGAGAGCAAUACUUGAUAAGAGAUGAUUUCUGGAACGAUCUAUCUCUGAAACGCAAGGUUCUAAAGAGGGGGCUGCGGUGGAUUAGGUUGUUGGUAGUGUAAUGGACCACCAAGCCUUUGAUCCAUAAGGGCUCUUAGCGGAGAGGCCCUGAGAAGGAAUCUGAGACACUAUUCCUAGCCCCACGGGGUGCAGCAGUUAGGGAUUUUUUGCAAUGCGCGAAAGCGUGACAAAGCGAACCAGAGUGUUUUUCAUUUUUGAAAAACUUUUGUCAGCUGUAAAAUUGCUGGCGAAUAAGGACUGGGCAAGACCGGUGCCAGCCGCCGCGGUAAUCCCGGCAGUCCAAGUCGCAGCCACAAUUAUUGGGUCUAAAACAUCCGUAGCUUGCUAUGUAAGUCUUUUGUGAAAUUCGGCCUCUUAAGGGUCGAGCGUGCAAGAGAUACUGCAUAGCUAGAGUCCGGAGGAUGUAAGAAGUACGAAUGAGGUAGUGGUAAAAUACGUUAAUCUCAUUCGGACUCACAACAGCGAAGGCAUCUUACAACGACGGUUCUGACAGUGAGGGAUGAAGGCUAGGGUCGCAAAUUGGAUUAGAUACCCAUGUAGUCCUAGCAGUAAACACUGCGCACUAAACAUCGGGGCCUCCUCGAGAGGUUUCGGUGCUGUAGAGAAGUCGAAGAGUGCGCUACCUGGGAAGUAUAGUCGCAAGGCCGAAACUUAAAGGAAUUGGCGGGGGAGCAC